GAUGAACGCUGGCGGCGUGCUUAACACAUGCAAGUCGAACGAGAAAUGUAGACGGAAACCUUCGGGCGGAAGCCUUCAUUUCGAGUGGCGGACGGGUGAGUAACGCGUGGGUAACCUGCCUCAUACAGGGGGAUAACAGUUGGAAACGACUGUUAAUACCGCAUAAGACCACAGCAUCGCAUGAUGCGGGGGUAAAAACUCCGGUGGUAUGAGAUGGACCCGCGUUCGAUUAGCCAGUUGGCGGGGUAACGGCCCACCAAAGCGACGAUCGGUAGCCGAUCUGAGAGGAUGACCGGCCACAUUGGGACUGAGACACGGCCCAAACUCCUACGGGAGGCAGCAGUGGGGAAUAUUGCACAAUGGGGGAAACCCUGAUGCAGCGACGCCGCGUGAGUGAAGAAGUACUUCGGUAUGUAAAGCUCUAUCAGCAGGGAAGAAAAUGACGGUACCUGAGUAAGAAGCCCCGGCUAACUACGUG
rnacentral:rRNA from 1 species